AAGAUCAACUUUGAAUCUUCUGCGACUGGAGGAAUCCACGAGAGGUCUCACUGAGGCCGAACUCAGUGUAGUUACUGUAAAUCCACCCAGACUACUGCUGGAUGUAUAGUUACUGUAAAUCCACCCAGACUGCUGCAGGAUGUAUAGUUACUGUAAAUCCACCCAGACUGCUGCAGGAUGUAUAGUUACUGUAAAUCCACCCAGACUGCUGCAGGAUGUAUAGUUACUGUAAAUCCACCCAGACUGCUGCAGGAUGUAUAGUUACUGUAAAUCCACCCAGACUGCUGCAGGAUGUAUAGUUACUGUAAAUCCACCCAGACUGCUGCAGGAUGUAUAGACUGUAUAGUUACUGUAAAACCACCCAGACUACUGCAGGAUGUAUAGACUGUAUAGUUAUUGUAAAUCCACCCAGACUACUGCAGGAUGUGUAGACUGUAUAGUUACUGUAAAUCCACCCAGACUACUGCUGGAUGUAUAGACUAUAUAGUUACUGUACAUCCACCCAGACUACUGCAGGAUGUAUAGUUACUGUAAAUCCACCCAGACUGCUGCAGGAUGUAUAGUUACUGUAAAUCCACCCAGACUGCUGCAGGAUGUAUAGUUACUGUAAAUCCACCCAGACUGCUGCAGGAUGUAUAGUUACUGUAAAUCCACCCAGACUGCUGCAGGAGGUAUAGUUACUGUAAAUCCACCCAGACUACUGCUGGAUGUAUAGUUACUGUAAAUCCACCCAGACUACUGCUGGAUGUAUAGACUACUGUAUAGUUACUGUACAUCCACCCAGACUACUGCUGGAUGUAUAGUUACUGUAUCCACCCAGACUACUGCUGGAUGUAUAGACUGUAUAGUUACUGUAAA
rnacentral:lncRNA from 8 species